rnacentral:lncRNA from 1 species
GAGUGAGGUCUUCUUCGGAAAGUCUUACAUGUGCAUAAUGUUGAGAGUAUCGGGAAUGACAAUGCUUGAUCUUCAUUCUUGCUAGAUUGGGCACUCUAUUGUCUAGCUAUAGGUGGGAGGUGAGAGUUGUGAUUAUGAUUUGGGAGCAAUGAAAAAGGAAAAGAAAUGACUCUUUGUGUUUAAGUGAAUUGUCUUAUUGGGAUAAGUAGAAAAACCUCUAGCUCAAGUUAUGAAAAGUCUUGGCCCCUAUCUAAAAAAAAAAAAAGAAAAGAAAUAAAAUCAAAAAGAAAAGAAAAAGAAAGAAAAAGGGGGCUAGCAAAGUUGUUAUGAGCUAAGUAAUGUUUUGAGGUUGUGGAAAAUCUCUUGUAGAUUUCAAAGAGAAGGAGUUAAAGUUCUUAGGAUCUUUUGGU